rnacentral:rRNA from 1 species
UACGGAGGGGGCUAGCGUUGUUCGGAAUUACUGGGCGUAAAGCGCGCGUAGGCGGAUCUGCAAGUCGGGGGUGAAAUCCCGAGGCUCAACCUCGGAACUGCCUUCGAUACUGAGGAUCUUGAGUUCGGGAGAGGUGAGUGGAACUGCGAGUGUAGAGGUGAAAUUCGUAGAUAUUCGCAAGAACACCAGUGGCGAAGGCGGACUCACUGGCCCGAUACUGACGCUGAGGCACGAAAGCGUGGGGAGCAAACAGGG